rnacentral:lncRNA from 1 species
UCACAUCUGUUUAUAUGACUAACCCUUAAAACAAAUAUUGCUCUAUUAAAGCUUCGUUGUAUUAGACGCGCACACUUCUGGCCCUCUCUUGUUCUCUCAUGGUUGAGUCUAAACAUAAGAAAGCAGGCUUAUAAGACUUUUUUUUAAACACAUAUGACGUUUAGAAAAAGUUUAGUUACAUUUCCUGAGCUUUUUACCCCUUGCUAAUUUUAACCUCUAAGAUGGUAUAAAGAGUAUAAGUUAGUAUAAACUAUGUAUUCUAACACAGCAUCUCCAGCUUCACGUUUAGUCAUUUGUAUACACAAUCUUUAUAGCUUUUUCCAAAUGUCUUCACAAAAAGGAAAAUCAACUCCUUUCUGGAUACAUCUUUAAAUAAAUGUAGACAGUUCUGGGGUCUUGUGAUAAAAUUACCAUUUAAAGAAUUUUGAAUUACAUGUUUGAGCAUCUGUAUAUGUCAGGACAGAAGCCCUACUACCACAUGAUAGUAUUAUAAUAGAAAAGGCAGAUUGAAGAUAGGCUUGAGCAUGUGCUUGUUCAUUCAUUCAUUCAUUCAGUCAGUCAAAAGGGGUUUGCUCAGCAUCUACUCAGAGUCAGACUCCAUGCUGUGUUGGGGAUAUGUGGAUGGAAAGACAUUGUCUUGCUCUGCAGGCUUGGGCUGCUCUUUCCCCUUGCAGGAUUCUAAUAUUCACUGGUGAUGACUUCCCCAAAGAACAGGGACAACAUGAUAAGUAGCUGUUCCCAGUGCCUUAGACAAAACAGUCUAAAAGAAGUCUAGUUUGUCCCACAUGCAGCAAUAACGUUUAUGUAGUUUGAACAAACGUUUAUGAGAAUCGACUGCCACUUGAGAUACCAACUGACUAUUAUAUUUUGUGGUCACAGAGUAAACCUUCCUGUCUACUUUUUUCUUUUUUCAGAUUCAGCAACAGCUUAUUUGGGGAGGAGGAAACAAAGGGAGAAAAGAGAACAGAGGUGUUAGCUGAUUUUCAGUUGAGGUUCAAGAUAGAUAAUAAGUAGCGAUUGCAACUGUGAAGUUCCGUUGGCAUUUGGGGGCUAGCGCAGUGCUCCCCAGGAACGUGGGAAUUAGGGAAAUAAGGUUGCAUUCUGAAAGUUAAGGUCAACACUUAAAGAGGUAGACUGUAAAUGUGGAGAGUCCCAAGAAUGAGGCAGACUGCUUCCAGGCCAUUUCCCAGGUCACAAACUUGAUGCCUAGAGAGCCAGGUGGGUGAUACAUAGGAGUGAAGCUGACUAGGUGUUAGCAUACCCAACGCGAAGUGACAUUCUUCACGUCCACAAACAGAUGUGCUUUCCUCCACUUUUUCUGGCGUAUAGGCCCCUCUUUGUUCACUUUUCUAUUUCCCUCAUCUGAGAGAGAGAACAAUGAAUAUUUUAUUUUUCUCUGAAGUUUACUCUAAAAGGGGGGGAAAAAAGAACACAUCCAGAUUAAUGGCAAGUGACACUUGGCCAGAGUGGCAGAGACUCUAGCAAACAGAACACACACCGCAUCUAAAGGGAGCCAUUCCAUAGCUGUACCUGACUGUUUCCAGAUAUUCCUAUUUUUUUGAGAGAAGCCAUAAAUCUGGGUUUAUUGAAGUUUCUCAAUUUAUAAAUGUUGGCUUCAGUUUCUUUAAAAUACCAGAGGCCAAACAAAACCAUCUGUGGGCUGAAUUUGACUCAAAGUCUCCACUUUCCAGCCUCUGCUAUAGCAUAAUUCAAUAUGUCAAUGUUUUAUGAACGUAUCUAAAACAAGGAGUUAGCCCCAAAAUGAAUGGCCAGCUAUAUUAAGUGCAGAUAUAGCAGUCGUAGUAUCUAUUAAAGAACAUCCAAAGGAACGGUCUUAUCUGUUCAGUGCUUGGUGUUUCUGACUUAGUUAUUUCCGAUGUUAAACCCACUUUCCAUUCCUUGGAUACACCUAAUUUGGUCCUGCUGUAGUACGUAUUUUUAUGUAUUACUGGAUUGUGUUUGCUAAUAUUUUGUUUGGGAUUUUUGCCUCUGUGUCCGUGAGUAAUAUUGGCCUUCAUUUUACCUUUCUCAUACUACUUUGCC